AUAUCAGUCAUGCAUAGCAUAUCAAUAAGCGGAGGAAAAGAAACUAACAAGGAUUCCCUUAGUAACGGCGAGUGAAGCGGGAAGAGCUCAAAUUUGAAAUCUUCAAGGUUUUACCUUGACGAAUUGUAGUUUAAAGAAGUGUUUUCUGUUGAAGUUUUGGUAAAAGUUCUUUGGAAUAGGACAUCAUAGAGGGUGAGAAUCCCGUAUUUGACCAUUACUUUCAGCUUUGUGAUACACUUUCAAAGAGUCGGAUUGUUUGGGAAUGCAGUCCAAAAUGGGUGGUAAAUUUCAUCUAAAGCUAAAUAUUGGCGAGAGACCGAUAGCGAACAAGUACCGUGAGGGAAAGAUGAAAAGAACUUUGAAAAGAGAGUUCAAACAGUACGUGAAAUUGUCAAAAGGGAAGCGUUUGACACCAGUGUUGUUUUCUCGAAAAUCAAUUAAAAAGAGUUGGAUUUUGUGUUGUAUUGACUUUAUCAGGCCUUCCUUCACUCUUUUCCAGCUUUUUUUAAUGCACUUUUCGUUUAACAAGUCAACAUCAGUUUCUUUUGUUGUAAAAAGGUCAUUGGAAGGUGGCUUUCUCUUCGGAGAAAGUGUUUAUAGCCUUUGACUCAUGCAAUCGGAGAGACUGAGGUCUGCAGCGUAGAUCCUUCGGGGUUAGAUACAUUUGUGCUAAGUUAUAGCUUUUCAUAGACAACUUGUUGACUAUGUUUAGUCUUGUAGCUUACUCGCUUAUGCUAUUUUACCUACGCUUAGGAUGUUGAACUCUAUCACACACA
rnacentral:rRNA from 1 species